UGGGGAAUAUUGCACAAUGGGCGCAAGCCUGAUGCAGCCAUGCCGCGUGUGUGAAGAAGGCCUUCGGGUUGUAAAGCACUUUCAGCGAGGAGGAAGGUGGUGGACUUAAUACGUUCAUCAAUUGACGUUACUCGCAGAAGAAGCACCGGCUAACUCCGUGCCAGCAGCCGCGGUAAUACGGAGGGUGCAAGCGUUAAUCGGAAUUACUGGGCGUAAAGCGCACGCAGGCGGUUUGUUAAGUCAGAUGUGAAAUCCCCGGGCUCAACCUGGGAACUGCAUUUGAAACUGGCAAGCUAGAGUCUCGUAGAGGGGGGUAGAAUUCCAGGUGUAGCGGUGAAAUGCGUAGAGAUCUGGAGGAAUACCGGUGGCGAAGGCGGCCCCCUGGACGAAGACUGACGCUCAGGUGCGAAAGCGUGGGGCAGCAAACAGGAUUAGAUACCCUGG
rnacentral:rRNA from 1 species